rnacentral:rRNA from 1 species
CACGGGGGGAGCAAGCGUUGUUCGGAAUCACUGGGCGUAAAGGGCGUGUAGGCGGUCAAGUAAGUGGAAUGUGAAAGCCCCCGGCUUACCCGGGGAUCUGCAUCCCAAACUGCUUGGCUUGAGUACGGGAGAGGAUAGGGGAAUUCCUGGUGUAGCGGUGAAAUGCUUAGAUAUCUGGAGGAACACCGGUGGCGAAGGCGGCAUCCUGGACCAACACUGACGCUGAGGAGCGAAAGCCAGGGGAGCAAACGGG